GAUGAACGCUGGCGGCGUGCCUAAUACAUGCAAGUCGAGCGAACGGACGAGAAGCUUGCUUUUCUGAUGUUAGCGGCGGACGGGUGAGUAACACGUGGAUAACCUACCUAUAAGACUGGGAUAACUUCGGGAAACCGGAGCUAAUACCGGAUAAUAUUUUGAACCGCAUGGUUCAAAAGUGAAAGACGGUCUUGCUGUCACUUAUAGAUGGAUCCGCGCUGCAUUAGCUAGUUGGUAAGGCAACGGCUUACCAAGGCAACGAUGCAUAGCCGACCUGAGAGGGUGAUCGGCCACACUGGAACUGAGACACGGUCCAGACUCCUACGGGAGGCAGCAGUAGGGAAUCUUCCGCAAUGGGCGAAAGCCUGACGGAGCAACGCCGCGUGAGUGAUGAAGGUCUUCGGAUCGUAAAACUCUGUUAUUAGGGAAGAACAUAUGUGUAAGUAACUGUGCACAUCUUGACGGUACCUAAUCAGAAAGCCACGGCUAACUACGUGCCAGCAGCCGCGGUAAUACGUAGGUGGCAAGCGUUAUCCGGAAUUAUUGGGCGUAAAGCGCGCGUAGGCGGUUUUUUAAGUCUGAUGUGAAAGCCCACGGCUCAACCGUGGAGGGUCAUUGGAAACUGGAAAACUUGAGUGCAGAAGAGGAAAGUGGAAUUCCAUGUGUAGCGGUGAAAUGCGCAGAGAUGUGGAGGAACACCAGUGGCGAAGGCGACUUUCUGGUCUGUAACUGACGCUGAUGUGCGAAAGCGUGGGGAUCAAACAGGAUUAGAUACCCUGGUAGUCCACGCCGUAAACGAUGAGUGCUAAGUGUUAGGGGGUUUCCGCCCCUUAGUGCUGCAGCUAACGCAUUAAGCACUCCGCCUGGGGAGUACGACCGCAAGGUUGAAACUCAAAGGAAUUGACGGGGGCCCGCACAAGCGGUGGAGCAUGUGGUUUAAUUCGAAGCAACGCGAAGAACCUUACCAAAUCUUGACAUCCUUUGACAACUCUAGAGAUAGAGCCUUCCCCUUCGGGGGACAAAGUGACAGGUGGUGCAUGGUUGUCGUCAGCUCGUGUCGUGAGAUGUUGGGUUAAGUCCCGCAACGAGCGCAACCCUUAAGCUUAGUUGCCAUCAUUAAGUUGGGCACUCUAAGUUGACUGCCGGUGACAAACCGGAGGAAGGUGGGGAUGACGUCAAAUCAUCAUGCCCCUUAUGAUUUGGGCUACACACGUGCUACAAUGGACAAUACAAAGGGCAGCGAAACCGCGAGGUCAAGCAAAUCCCAUAAAGUUGUUCUCAGUUCGGAUUGUAGUCUGCAACUCGACUACAUGAAGCUGGAAUCGCUAGUAAUCGUAGAUCAGCAUGCUACGGUGAAUACGUUCCCGGGUCU
rnacentral:rRNA from 1 species